rnacentral:tmRNA from 2 species
GGGGCCGAACUAGGAUCGACGUGUGUUGAAAAGCGGUGUUUUCGUCCGGGCUGAGUAACCCGUUCAAGGCUCAAAACUCAUAAGUGCCAACGACAACGAAGCACUUGCUCUCGCCGCGUAAUUCUAGGGCCUAACGGCCUGAAGUUACAAAGCUAGAACGCGGUUGGACCCACCGGUCAACAGAAGCGGAUUCCAGGGGUUCGGGGUGUACCUGGCAACAGAAACACCCCACU